GCGGAAGUGGCGGAAUUGGCAGACGCGCAGGCUUCAGGUGCCUGUGGUAGCAAUACCGUGCGGGUUCAAGUCCCGCCUUCCGCAC
rnacentral:tRNA from 2 species